ACACCCCUCGCUGCAGACUGUAGCGCCGUGACAUCACGUACUGACGUCAGGUAUGUCCUACGUAGCGUAUGUCUUUAAUGCGCAUGUACAAAAUAUUUCACUUUAAUCAGUAGGUGGCGGUAAUGCGCCUAAAAGUUUAACCAACCUUAAUAAUACAGCGAAGAAGAAGUUUUUCUCGUCUGCAGUUUGGAUUAGCGUUUUUUCGAAAGGGAUUAAUUCGAUUGCGGCUUAACUUACUGGAAACAGUCACCAGGUUCAGUCCAGCUAAGCCAGUGCUUAUGAUGAAGGCUUCCUUACUUGAGGACUGCUUCAGGAUGUAGAAUGAACAAUGCCACCUAAGAUCCUGUGGCAGAUCCUGAUGGCAGUAGUCAAGGUUGAUGGUGAUGUGGCUGUCUUGAGGCUUGCACUCAAAUGCUAGAUGUUUAGGGACAUUGUUAGUGAGCCCAAAUUUAAAGAACAGGCUCACUUUUUGUGGCUUGACAGUCAUGAGAACUGGAUUGUGUUUUACAGACAACAGUUUCGGAUGCCCUACUCUGUGACUCAAUGCUUCCACUGUGUAGAAAUCUUCAAAGACUGUCCACCUGGCAAUGUUGGGGA